rnacentral:misc_RNA from 1 species
GAUGAAGAACGCAGCGAAAUGCGAUACGUAAUGUGAAUUGCAAAUUCAGUGAAUCAUCGAGUCUUUGAACGCACAUUGCGCCCCCUGGUAUUCCGGGGGGCAUGCCUGUCCGAGCGUCAUUGCUGCCCUCAAGCACGGCUUGUGUGUUGGGCCCCGUCCUCCGAUCCCGGGGGACGGGCCCGAAAGGCAGCGGCGGCACCGCGUCCGGUCCUCGAGCGUAUGGGGCUUUGUCACCCGCUCUGUAGGCCCGGCCGGCGCUUGCCGAUCAACCCAAAUUUUUUAUCCAUGUUGACCUCGGAUCAGGUAGGGAUACCCGCUGAACUUAAGCAUAUCAAUAAGCGGAGGA